rnacentral:rRNA from 1 species
UCGCUGUGAUCCCUUCGGGGUGAACUUGAUGCUGACGAGUGGCGGACGGGUGAGUAAUGCUUAGGAAUCUGCCCAGAAGUGGGGGACAACCCGAGGAAACUCGGGCUAAUACCGCAUAAGCCCUUAGGGGGAAAGCGGGGGACUCUUCGGAGCCUCGCGCCUUUGGAUGAGCCUAAGUCGGAUUAGCUUGAUGGUGAGGUAAAAGCUCACCAUGGCGACGAUCCGUAGCUGGUCUGAGAGGACGAUCAGCCACACUGGGACUGAGACACGGCCCAGACUCCUACGGGAGGCAGCAGUGGGGAAUAUUGGACAAUGGGGGCAACCCUGAUCCAGCAAUGCCGCGUGUGUGAAGAAGGCCUGCGGGUUGUAAAGCACUUUCAGUAGGGAAGAAAAGCUCGAGGUUAAUACCCUCGGGUCUUGACGUAACUUACAGAAGAAGCACCGGCUAACUCCGUGCCAGCAGCCGCGGUAAUACGGAGGGUGCGAGCGUUAAUCGGAAUUACUGGGCGUAAAGCGCGCGCAGGCGGCUGGGUCAGUCGGAUGUGAAAGCCCCGGGCUUAACCUGGGAAUUGCAUUCGAUACUGCCCGGCUAGAGUAUGGGAGAGGGAAGUGGAAUUUCCGGUGUAGCGGUGAAAUGCGUAGAUAUCGGAAGGAACACCAGUGGCGAAGGCGGCUUCCUGGCCCAAUACUGACGCUCAGGUGCGAAAGCGUGGGGAGCGAACAGGAUUAGAUACCCUGGUAGUCCACGCUGUAAACGAUGAGAACUA